rnacentral:lncRNA from 1 species
AGGGCCCUUAAUGAUCUCAGCCUGAUCCCCGGUAUGGGUUGUGUGUGCAACGUGAACAACAUGUUGACAUGAGGAAACCGCUGUGGCGUUUCGUGGCGUUUCGUGGCGUUUCGUGGCGUUGCGUUGCUUAGGUGGCAGAUGAUUCCCCAGGAAGAAUUUCCACUAUAUAGCCUCUGCGAACUGUUUCCUCAGAAGCAAAAGCUGAACUGGACGGUCUCAGUCAAUACUAAAACGUACCGUAUCCUACUGCCCGUCUCAGUCAAUACUAAACACACUGUAUCCUACUGCCGUCUCAGUCAAUACUAAACAUACUGUAUCCUACUGCCGUCUCCGUCAAUACUAAACAUACUGUAUCCUCCUGCAGUCUCAGUCAAUACUAAACAUACUGUAUCCUGCGGCCUGCAUCUAAGAUGUAAACACAGCCUUUGAUCGGCUGUCAGUGUGUUAACUGAAGCUCCCAAAGACUGAAAUAAGAUAUCUGUUUGA